rnacentral:rRNA from 1 species
UAGAGUUUGAUUCUGGCUCAGAACGAACGCUGGCGGCGCGCCUAAUACAUGCAAGUCGAGCGAGAAGACGUAGCAAUACGUUUGUAAAGCGGCGAACGGGUGAGGAAUACAUGGGUAACCUACCCUCGAGUGGGGAAUAACUAGCCGAAAGGUUAGCUAAUACCGCGUACGCUCCUUGGACUUCGGUUCAGGGAGGAAAGCGAGGCCGUGGGUCUCGCGCUCUUGGAUGGGCUCAUGUCCUAUCAGCUUGUUGGUGAGGUAACGGCUCACCAAGGCUUCGACGGGUAGCUGGUCUGAGAGGACGAUCAGCCACACUGGCACUGCGACACGGCCCAGACUCCUACGGGAGGCAGCAGUAGGGAAUCUUGCGCAAUGGGCGAAAGCCUGACGCAGCGACGCCGCGUGCGGGAAGAAGGCCUUCGGGUUGUAAACCGCUUUCAGGAGGGAAGAAGCGAAAGUGACGGUACCUCCAGAAGAAGCCCCGGCCAACUGCGUGCCAGCAGCCGCGGUAAUACGUAGGGGGCAAGCGUUGUCCGGAAUUAUUGGGCGUAAAGAGCUCGUAGGCGGUCCUUUAAGUCGGGUGUGAAAUCUCAGGGCUCAACCCUGAAACCGCACUCGAUACUGGAGGACUUGAGGCAGGUAGGGGAAGGUGGAAUUCCUGGUGUAGCGGUGAAAUGCGCAGAUAUCAGGAGGAACACCGGUGGCGAAGGCGGGUCUCUGGGCCGAUACUGACGCUGAGGAGCGAAAGCGUGGGGAGCGAACAGGAUUAGAUACCCUGGUAGUCCACGCCGUAAACGUUGGGCGCUAGGUGUGGGAUCCCUUCCACGGGUUCCGUGCCGCAGCUAACGCAUUAAGCGCCCCGCCUGGGGAGUACGGCCGCAAGGCUAAAACUCAAAUGAAUUGACGGGG